rnacentral:rRNA from 1 species
UACGAGGGGGGCAAGCGUUGUUCGGAUUUAUUGGGCGUAAAGGGUGCGUAGGCGGUCGGGUAAGUCUGAUGUGAAAUCUCACAGCUUAACUGUGAAACUGCAUUGGAUACUAUUCGGCUAGAGAGUUGGAGGGGGGACUGGAAUUCUUGGUGUAGCAGUGAAAUGCGUAGAUAUCAAGAGGAACACCAGUGGCGAAGGCGAGUCUCUGGACAACUUCUGACGCUGAGGCACGAAAGCUAGGGGAGCAAACAGG